rnacentral:lncRNA from 1 species
UUUUGAGAAAAAAUGCCUAUUAUUACUAGCAUGUAUACCGCAUAUAUUUUAAUGAGAAUUACUUUUCCACCCGAUGUAUGCCUCAUAUAUUUUAAUGAGAAUUAUUUUUCCACCCGAUAUGGUAGACUUGACCAGAAUUACCAGUCGAUAUGAGAUUCUAGAGGUGGCUCCUCCAACUAACAUUCGGCUUUGAUACUAAUUGUAACGGCCCGACCCGCUAACAAUAAUAACUCGUUGAACCCAAACCACCGGCCCAAAAUGGUAAAACCUGGUUAUUAUUGCUCGUAGGCUUCAUAUAUUCCAAUUAGAAUUAUUUUCACAUUCGAUGUGGGAUUAGAUCACAAAUACAUACCAGAAUUGUAAGGCAAUGUGAGAUUCUAGAGGUGGAUCUUACGGGUUCAAGUUGGGUCCAAACUAUAUCACAGAAACUGGUCAGAAUUACCAGACAAUGUGAGAUUUUAGAGAUGGCUCCCACGGUUUAAGAGGUGACUCCUCCAGCUAGUAUCCGACUUUAAUACGAAUUGUAAACAACAUGACCCGCUAGCAAUAAUAACUCGUUGGAUCCAAACCACCGGACCAAAAUACUUAAGCCCGAUUAUUAUUAAUUGCGUGUAGGUCUCGUAUAUUCUAAUUGUUAUGAUUAUUUACGGGAAAAAAGUAUAGAAUAGUAGUUUUUUUUUUUUACUUAUGUU